rnacentral:rRNA from 1 species
AGCUAUGUUGAGAUGAGCCCGCGUACCAUUAGCUAGUUGUUGGGUAAUGGCCUACAAGGCGACGAUGGUUAGCUGGUCUGAGAGGAUGAUCAGCCACACUGGAACUGACAACGGUCCAGACUCCUACGGGAGGCAGCAGUGAGGAAUUUUGCGCAAUGGGGGAAACCCUGACGCAGCAACGCCGCGUGAGUGAUGAAGCUUUCGGGUCGUAAAGCUCUGUCAAGUGGGAAGAAACUAUUUCGUGUCAAUAUCACGAGAUACUGACGGUACCACUGAGGAAGCACCGGCUACUCCGUGCCAGCAGCCGCGGUAAUACGGGGGGUGCAAGCUUAUUCGGAAUUAUUGGGCGUAAAGGGCGUGCAGGCGGCCAGAUAGUCAGAUGUGAAAGCCCGGGGCUCAACCCCGGAAGUGCAUUUGAAACUAUUUGGCUUGAGUAUGGGAGAGGGAAGUGGAAUUCCUGGUGUAGAGGUGAAAUUCGUAGAUAUCAGGAGGAACACCGGUGGCGAAGGCGACUUCCUGGACCAAUACUGACGCUGAGACGCGAAGGCGUGGGAGCAAACAGGAUUAGAUACCCUGGUAGUCCACGCAGUAAACGAUGAACACUAGGUGUAGCGGGUAUUGACCCCUGCUGUGCCGCAGCUAACGCAUUAAGUGUUCCGCCUGGGGAGUACGGCCGCAAGGUUAAAACUCAAAGGAAUUGACGGGGGCCCGCACAAGCGGUGGAGCAUGUGGUUAAUUCGACGCAACGCGAAGAACCUUACCUGGAUUGACAUCCUGGGAAUCUUCUUGAAAGAGGAGAGUGCCCUUCGGGGAGCCUGGAGACAGGGCUGCAUGGCUGUCGUCAGCUCGUGUCGUGAGAUGUUGGGUAAGUCCCGCAACGAGCGCAACCCCUAUCUUUAGUUACCAGCAAUUCGGUUGGGGACUCUAAAGAUACUGCCCGGUUAACGGGGAGGAAGGUGGGGAUGACGUCAAGUCCUCAUGGCCUUUAUGUCCAGGGCUACACACGUGCUACAAUGGGCUGUACAGAGGGUAGGAACUCGCG